ACGCUCAACACCUACUGGAGGCAGCAGUGGGGAAUAUUGCACAAUGUGGGAAACCCUGAUGCAGCGACGCCGCGUGAGCGAAGAAGUAUUUCGGUAUGUAAAGCUCUAUCAGCAGGGAAGAAGAAAGACGGUACCUGACUAAGAAGCCCCGGCUAACUACGUGCCAGUAGCCGCGGUAAUCUGAGCGGGCUGGCAAGGC
rnacentral:rRNA from 1 species